rnacentral:lncRNA from 1 species
CAGAACUCCAUGAUGGAUCCCAGCUCUCAUAAAUUCUAUCACAAGGAUCACGUUGAUCCAGGCAAAUUAUAUAACACUUACGCUGGUGCCGAAGCAGAUAAGAAGCACACUGAUGAGCUUUUAUUAUUCCCUAUGAAGUUAAUUUUCAGUGAGGUAAAAUCAGGUAUGUUUUUAUUUCUGUUUUUCUAUUUAAAUAGCUUUUACUGUUUAAUGCCAGGGGCCAAAUUUAAUAUAGCAAAAGAGCAACAAUUCUGGGUUAAAGUGAUACAGCUAGAGCAAUUUAUAAAUAUAGAACAAUUUAUAAGAUAGUACAAUUUAUAUGGAAAUGGAAUAACCUGGCAGAAAAAAAGCAAAUAUGCCAGCAUUCUUAAAUCUCAGAAAACAUCUCUAUCCAACUAAUAUCAUAAAAAAAGCAACUGCACUCAUGCAAAUUAUAUAUAUUAUGAUUAUUAUUGGUAUUUAUAUAGCACCAACUAAUUCUGCAGAGCAUUACAAUGUUAUGACAUUACAAUACAUGAGACAUUUACACAGUGACUCAGGAACAAAAGCUAGAUGAGGACCCUGAUCAGACAAGCUUACAGUCUGGAUGAGGUGGGAUACAACAGGACAGCAAGGGUGACAGCCACCAAACAAGGUGGAAAAGUAGCAGAGCUGGAGGUGAGUGUGGAGUAAGCCUCUUUAGGAGAGCAAGACACAGACUUGGGUAAGUAUAGAUAGUUACUCUGGGAGUCCAUAAACAUUUCUGAACAGAUAUGGUUUGAGGGACUUCUUAAACAAUUGAAGACAAGGGGAGAGUCUGAUUGGAGUAUGCAGGCUGUUCCAAAAGAAGGUAGUCGCCCGCAAGAAGUCCUGCAAGCGUGAGUUAGCAGUAAGGGUGCGAGCUGCGGACAGGAGGUCACCGGCAGAGCGGGGAGGCCUAGAAGGGGCAUAUCUAUGAAUCUGGGAAGAAAUGUAAGAGGGGCUAGAGUUGGUUAGAGCUUUAUAGGUAAGGGUUAGUAUUUUGAAUUGAAACCUGUAUGAUACGGGAAGCCAGUGUAAGGAUUGACAGAAUGCACCUAUAAUUGCACCAUAUAUAUAUCUUAUUAUAUAUGUAACAAUGUAGUAUGCAGUCUUGGACAUAGAUGGAAGGAAGACAUUUCAGUGUGUUAAAAUAUAGUGGUUUAUAAAUGACCUUUGAGGAUUAACAUAAGAUACAAAGUUUAGAGGUAAUAGUGAAGUUUGUGUUUUUAAACUAAAUCUUGUUAUAAUUAAUCCAUUCACACUGGUACCCAUGUAUAUACAUUUUCCAUGGCAAGCACCCUGGAAUCAUUUAUACAUGAUUUUAAUGUUUUAAUUUAGUAUGCGUAGAGGCUGGACACAGAAAAACUGCGUUCUCACUAUCAUUCCUCAAUACUCACCCUGCCAGUCUCCCCUCACUCUGUCACGCUCGCCAAACUUUGACAAACUCACCCCCACAACAUUGUUUUACUCAGCAGCUGUAACACUGUCACGGUCACUCCCCAAACCCUGUUACACUAACCCUCUAUCACCCUGCCUCACUCACCCUGUCAUACAUACCCCCUCAAAUGGUCACACUCACAACCCAACUCUGUCAUACUCAACCCCUAUCUUGUUUCACUCUCCCCAUUUACCCAAGUACACUCAUCUACUUACUUACCCCCAAACCCGUUGCACAUGCCUUCUUACCCUGCCAUAGUCAUCCUAUCAUACUAUGUUCCUUGCCAUGUCACACUCAUGCUGACACCUCUAAAGAAAGUCAUCCUCAUAAACACACAGUCACCUAUCUCAAGCAUCCCCCAUUGUACAGUGCUACGGAAUCUGAUGGCGCUAUAUAAAGAAUAAAAUAACAAAAAUAAUACUUGUACAUUAUGCUAACUUUAGUGUACCGAUAAUCUUAAUUUUAUUAAUGACAGGAGGCGAGUAUUUGCUUAAGUCUUUCUUUACUUAAGCUUCACAGCGGCACUUUUUUACUUAGUAACAGGGUAACCAAUCAGAAAAAAGAGAUAACAAGGUAUAAGAGUCCCUCCCUGUGAUGUCACUUCCUCUUUCUGGCUGCGAAACAAAUAGGAACAGGAACUGCAACUGAACCGGAUGAGGAAUUCAGGAUGCCAGAUGAGAAAGCAAAUGCUAGAGAGGGAACAGGAACAUAAGCAUGUCUUCUUAGAGAGCUGAGAUGAUGCUUGAGAUGGAACGGCAACUGAACUUGUCUUCAUGAGGGGCUUUAUGCUGAAACGAGAAAGCAGAGUCGAAACCAAGGAUUAAUCCGAGAAUUGGACUUAUAAAAUAUGACAUUCGGUAUUUAGAAAAUCCCGUCUAAAGCCCGCCUCCUACGAAGUGUAAACUAUCCACCCCUAGAGAGAAACCCUUAGCCCACCCACGGUAGAGGUACAUAGUGUAUGUAUUUAGUCUAGAUGAACUUACCUAGAUAGGUAACCUUAGGGAGGGGAAAAAGAAACGAGAGUGAAGGGUGGGAAAUACUCGCCUCCUGUCAUUAAUAAAAUUAAGAUUAUCGGUACACUAAAGUUAGCAUAAUCUACAAUUUUAUAUCAUGACAGGAGGCUUCGUAUUUGCUGUUUUAACGCUCCCCAAGAAGGGCUAAGGAAGCGUGCACAGCCGGACGAAAAUAGAAGUUGCGGAAAGUCUGCUGAGUGGAGAAUGUCCCGAAGUGAGGCUCCAGCGCUGAAAGCUCCCGAUGCCGCCGCUCCCCUGAUGGAGUGGGCUCCGAAGGAGGCCUCAAUCCCAGCAAGGGAGAGCAACCACCUAACCCAUCGGGCAAGGGUUAUGGUUGACACCGGAUUAUGUGGUCGGACGUAGGAGAUCAAUAGUUGGCUGGAGGAGGUUGGACGAAGAGAGGAGGUGAGUAGUAAAUAAUGAGAGAGAAGUGAUACCACACACAAUUUUGCAUGGUUAGGGAAAUAAGGGUAAAACACCGAAGAAGAGUUUGAUUUUGUCCGUCUGGACACGGAAAAGGUGACACCUUCUGGGGAAAAAUUGAUAGCGUCAUGGUCAAAUGCUCGAACAUCUGACACUCGUCGGAAGGAUACUAAGCAGAGUAGCAGGGUGAAUUUUGCCGAGAGUUGACGGAAGGUUAGAUCUUCGUUGUUCAGCCAGGUUUCAAGGAAACAAAUCAUGACAUUAACAUCCCAUAGAUGGGAGUAUUUUGGUGUUGGGGGGCGAGCCAGUUUGAUGCCCCUCAAUAGUCUGCAAACCAGCAGGUCCUGGCCCGCUGGAAUUCCGUGUAGAGGGACAUGGGCUGCCGAGAUUGCUGACCGGGCCACGUUGAUGGACCGGUAUGUACGGCCUAAGUCGAACAGGUGCGAGAGGAAAUUCAGUAUGAACUGUCUAGGGGCUGUAAGGGGAUCGGUAUUCCGUUCCAUGCACCAAUUGCACCAAGUACUCCAGGAAGAAAGGUAGCAUCUUCUGGUUCCAGGAGCCCAGGAAUCCCAGAGAAGUUCUUUAGAUCUCUGAGAUAAUUCUCCGAAAUUCCAGGAUCCCCUGAAAGAGUCCAAGCCACUAAUUGGAGAUGACCUUGCAUUAUCAUCGGAUGAGGGUUUCCUUGAGGGUCCUCUAACAGGUUGGGCCAUAGAGGUAGAAGGAGGGGAUGUUGGCAGGAGAGGUCCAGGAGAUCUGGGAACCAUGCUUGGCCCUGCCAGAGCGGGGUGAGUAGUAUCAGUGUGACCUGUUGUCUGCGAAUCUGAAGAAGGGUUCUUGGGAUAAUCGCAAACGGAGGGAAGGCAUAGGCUCCCGUCGUCGGCCAUUUCUGAAGAAAGGCAUCUACUGCCGAACAUUCCGGGUCUGGUAGCCAGCUGAAGAAGCUUGGGACUUGAAAAUUCGUCCAGGAGGCGAAAAGGUCCAGAGUAAACGUGCCCCUGAGUUUGGAGACGUGGAGGAAGACUGACCUGUGUAAGCGCCAGUCGCUGCCGUCUCUCCAAUGUCGGGAGAACCAAUCGGCGGUGGUGUUCAUCUCCCCCGGGAGGUAUUCUGCCCGGAGUGUUAUGUUGCGCUGGAAGCAAAAAUUGUAGAUGUCCUUUGUCACCUCGGACAGGGUGUGAGAUCUGGCCCCGCCCAAUUUGUUGAUGUAUUGAACGGCCAAGAUAUUGUCCAUUCAGAGGAGAAUACAACAGUCUGAGAGAUGAUUGGCCAGACUGCGGAUUGCAAAUGAUCCUGCGAUUAAUUCUAGACAGUUGAUGUGGAGAGAGUGUUCUGCAUCGGUCCAUGGUCCCCCGGUGGAAGUUGUAUGACAAGUUGCGCCCCAGCCUUGGAGGCUCGCGUCUGAUUCCACCACAAAGUCCGGAGUGGGACCAAAAAUUGCUUUGCCGUUCCAGGCAGACAUGUGGCGAAGCCACCAGUAGAGUUCCUCCCUCACCUCGGUAGUGAUCGGGACCCUUUGGUCAUAUGAUGGAUGGGUCUGGAGGAAUUGAGCCUUCAAGCGUUGCAUGGCCCGAUAAUGGAGGGGACCUGGGUAGAUUGCUUGAAUGGAGGCAGAAAGCAGGCCUAUAAUCCGAGCUAAACCUCGGAGAGGUAGAUCCACUUGACGAAGCGUCUUGCGCAGUUCCUUCCUGAUCGCGGUUAACUUGGACGGCGGCAGGCGGAGAACACAGGUGGAGGAGUCGAUCUCGAAGCCGAGAAACUGUAUGAUUUGGGAUGGAGUCAGCGAGGAUUUUUCCUUGUUGAUGACGAAUCCCAAGGAUUCUAUCAAUGAGGAUGUGUAGUUCAUUUGUGAUUGCAGCCUGGAGGUGUCGUCGCAGAGUAGUAAAAGGUCGUCGAGGUAGAUUAAGCAGCGAAAACUCCUUGCUCGAAGAUGUGCGAUGACUGGCUUGAGCAGUUUGGUGAAGCACCAGGGAGCGGAACUCAGGCCGAAUGGAAGGCAGGUGAAUUGUAAGAUCCGGUGGUGCCAGGGGAAGCGGAGGAAACGUCGACUGGAUGGAUGUACUGGCACGGAGAGGUAAGCAUCCUUGAGGUCGAGUCGGGUGAACCAAUCGCCUGGUCAGAGAAUGUCUCUGAGGAGAUGUAUCCCUUCCAUUUUGAAAUGCCGGUAUAUCACGAAGGUAUUCAAUUGGCGAAGGUUGAUUACCGGGCGGAAUUCUCCCGAUUUCUUUUUGACCAGCAAUAUGGAACUUAGAAAGCCUUCGUCGUGUAGAGCGGGUUGAAUCGUUCCUUUUGUUAGCAAGGAACGUAGUUCUGAAUCGAGGAGGAGCCAUUGAGAUUUUGACAUUAUCGGGUAAUGUGAAGGACCUGUUUGAGUAGGGAUAGAAUAAAACUCUAUGAAAUAACCCUGAACCGUGUUUAGAACCCAUGUAUCUGAAGACAGCGUCUUCCACAUAUCCACACAAUGUAACAACCUGCCCGCAUGAGAAACUGUAGAGAGGUGAAAAGUAGGAAAUCUCACCUGUUGGGUAUCUGUAGCGUCCACGGGCUCUACCUCCUCUUCCCCUAUCUGACCUUUGGGUGUAGAAACCUCUAGAUUGAUAGUUGGGGAAGAAUGAUGAAGUGGGGGUUCUUUGGCGUUGGUUUGUAGGCCAGAAGCGGCUGACUGUAUGACCCCUUGGAUGGCCAGCCCUGCCAAAAACCCGAGAGGGUUGUUGGUGGAAUACUCUUCUCAUGGAUGAUUGCGCCUUGUUCAGGGUGGCGUAUAAAUUUACAUGCUUGUGUAAUUCUUUAAUAUAGGGUUCUCCAAAUAAUAGACCCUUGGCCUUGGGGCCCAACUCUUUGGUCCCCAGGUCGGCUAGUUUGGCAUCCAUACGCAGCAGCACUGCUUUUCUACGCUCAGUAGAGAGGGAUGUAUUUGCAUUGCCCAGCAGGCAAAUGGAGCGUAGUGCCCAUUCUCUGAUCACAGAUGGGUGUAAAGGGCCCUCGUUAGUGAGGGCUUCAUCAGCCAGUAGUAGAAUUCUUGCCAAGGGCCCUAGGACAUCCAACAUCCGGUCCUGGGUGAGGCGUAGGCUGCGUUCAAUGCCCUUUUUAGGGUCACGGCCAGAUCUGGCUAAAUAUGUGUAGAGCAGUGAAUCAAACUCCAGGGUCAUAGCGACCUUGUCCGGCAAGGUGGGCCUAGGGCAUUCAGCUCUUAGGCAUUUGCGGACCCCCCGGUCUAGGGGUCUCCUUAUCCAGAAAUAGAUAUAUUGUGAAAGGUGAUUUGUGUCACGAUUCGGGGAACCCAACAUGCUGACACACACACACACACACACAAAAGGUGCCGUACCGGACCUUAGAGUGGCCGGGCUAAGCACACACAGAAUAGUUAGGAGACAAGCCGAAUAAGGGGAACCAGAAGACAGAAUAACGUGAAACAAGCCGAGGUCAAAGGGUAGGAGAAAGUCACAGAGUCAGAUAAACAAGCCAGAGAGUACGUAACCAGAAGCACAAGGUAAGUAGCAAUACUAGAAAGCAAAGACCACAACAGGGCAGGGAGGAACAGGAAAGGUAAGUAUUUAAACCAUAAGGUUAAUUCUGAUUGGAUAAUUUCCAAUCAGAAUUAACAAUCACACGUGGGAGAUAUCUAGACCUCCCACUGUGAUUAAGGCACUGUGCCUUUAAUGCCGGGUCAGGUGACUGACCCCGGCGUGUAUAAACCUGGGCGGUCUCCCAGCGUGCAGCGUCAUGCAUGCUGCCGCUGGGGGACGUGGAGGAAACGGCGGGCGGCAUCCGAGGCUGGAAGGAUGCCGCUCGCCGUACCCACGAGGUGGAGGGGACCGUGGACGGCUGGAGGGUGAGUACUGCGAGCGGAGUGCAGCCUCCCCUCCCAGCCGCCCGCGGGAUCCCGACAAUUUGGGAGUGACCAUUCUGAAGAUCGAGGGUAUCUGAUCUGUCGUGGGUCAAAUAGGGGUUCACCAAGCGUAUCCAGAAAGGCUUCGGGUACUGAAUCCUCCGUAGUGGGGUCUCCCGUGAUAUCUUGAGGGAAAGGUGCUUCUAUGAAAGAUGCCUCAGGCCAGUCUUCUUCGUCUUCUAAAGAGUGGCCAGCUUGCCAUUCAUCUAGAAUGGCCAAUGGGUGUGAGUCGAAAGAGUCGUCUUCCUCCUCCGACAAGGUAGGCUGUAUGGGAUGUUUUUCCUUGGCGUCCGCUUGUUUUGGGCGUUUUGCCGGUUCUUUCCCUUUGCGUUUGAGUGAUUCUGGCCCAUCCCCUUUCCAAUAUCGUUUAUUGAGUUUGGAAGGGUUCCUUCUUGUAGAAUCAGAAUUAUUCGCCUCUUCGUCAGGGUGCGGGGGCUCAGAAAUUUUGGUAUCUUUGGGCUCAAUGGGCAGCACCCGAGCCAGGGUCUUUUCUAGUGAAGCGGCAACAGCCGCGUUUAUAAUCGUUUGCAGAUUUUGGUCUUGGUUUGAAACCUCCAUAGCAACAGUGUUGGUACCUAUGGGGCAGAAUAGGCCAGCAUUAGAAUGUAUUUUAGGGCCGUCUUGUAUAUCAAAAGCGAAAAUUCACCAGAACUGAAUUACAGAGAGAAGUAUCUCUGUGAAAAACAAAUUCUGCUCUGUGGGAAAUAUUGUCCUGAGAAACAUAAGUUAGUGAACUUAUAUAUGUGUAUCUUGUAAGAUUUUUGUACUGCCGAUUAACAAUUAAAAUGGCCGCCGUGCGGCUAGAAUGGUCGCCGAUCGCGGCUCCAACAAAAUGGCCACCGCGAUCUCGCGCAUUCGCACAAGGUGCAAACGGCCGUUCGGAUCUCGCAGCGAUGCGCGAGAUCCAAGAUGGCCGCCGUGCGCACUCAGGGCCGAUGGAGGCGUACUCCACAGCCCAAAAGCCCAGGAAAAACGGGGCAAAAUAUGCCGACCGCAACCUGGACCAAUAAAAAGUAAGAGACACAAUAAAAAUGUAUAGAAAAAUGAAAAAGAACGUAAGGGACAGUACAAAAGGAAUAAAAGGAGAACAUUAGGCAGUAAUAGAGAAUAAGUUAAGAGAAAACUUUAGAAAGAUAGCUAAGGUGGGACAAACACCUUAGAAAAUAGGAAAAUAAGUAUAUAGCUAAAGUAUGGGAAACAUAGCUAAGAAAAAACAAAGAUUAAAUAAACAAGUUAGAAUAAACAGGAUAGUAAAUAACCCACAGAAAGUAAGAGGCAGUGGCACUCUGACCUGUACUGGUGUGAAGCAGCAAAGAAAGAGGAAGUGACAUCACAGGGAGGGACUCUUAUACCUUGUUAUCUCUUUUUUCUGAUUGGUUACCCUGUUACUAAGUAAAAAAGUGCUGCUGUGAAGCUUAAGUAAAGAAAGACUUAAGCAAAUACGAAGCCUCCUGUCAUGAUAUAAAAUUAAACGCAACACACCACAAGCAUCUUCUCUACACACUUAUCCUCUCAGACACAGAAAUGCUCACAGAGAUAUACAUUUACAAACAAGGAUACUUACUCUCAGACACACACUUAGUAAGAAUGCACACAGUCAGAUAAACCUUUUGAAAAAACACACAAGGUGACUAAAUGCCCAUAUUUGUCAAUAUGUGUGUGUCUUUGCAUCAAUGUGUAUGUGUAUCAGAGUUUGUAUAUAUGUGUGCAUGCAUCCCAGUGUGUAUGUGUGCAUGUAUCAUUGUGUAAGUGUAUUAGUGUGUGUGUCCAUGGCUGCAAUACAAGUUUGAUAUGAUAUGGCCAAUGCCAUGGUAAAGUGGCAACAUAUAUAAUAUACAUAUUCAAUACAUAGGACAACAUAUGUAUGUCAAUGUCACAUAUUCUGAAAUGUUAGUUAUUUUGAACAAUGUAUUCUUAUCUGCACCUUCUCUAUUUGGUAUAUGAUUUGAAAAAGAGUUUUUCUGUCUAAAAAAUUGUUACAUGGCAUAAUGUGCUAUCUAUGCAUACAGAAAUUAAAAACACAUAUACAAAUUACUUUCCAGGACCCCCACAUUCUUGGAUUCUGUGGGGGUUUUCUCUUUUUUUUUUUUGCAAACCACUUGGUAGUAAAGGGGUUUAAGCAAAAAAAUAAACAUUAACACAGGUUGCUGUUGCCUUUAUUCUGUUUCAUUGUGUCUGGGGAAUUUUCAAGAUAAAUUACUUCGUUAGGAGACCAGAAUAUCACUACAGUUAAUUAAAAAUUCCUUUUUAUUUUUUUCUUUCUCCAUCAUAUGGUCAUCAUAAAUCUGGUGGAUUAGCUAAACUAGUGUACCAGGUCACUUAACAUUACUUACCCAAAAUGAAUAUAUACAUAUAUACGUAUAUAGGUAGGUACAUAAGCAUCUCAGUAUGUGGGUAGAGGGUUCUAUCCCUUUUUUUAUAUAAUAUUCUCAAAUAUAUAGUAACCUAGUCACACAAUGCACAAUGGGGGAUUCGUUUUUGGUUAAGGAGCAGUAAUAGGACUGACAUUUAAAAAUGUAGGCAAAAAUUGUUUUAAAAAAAUAUAUAUUUUUUUAUUUGUAUUUUUUUUUUUUUACAUUUUAUUAUUUUUAUUUCCAACUUGUUCUUCUCCAGGUCGUCUUAGAGGAAGCACCUUGAUUGACCUUUCUACUGGCCCUAUUAUUUUCCAGUUGUUACCACUUUGUAAAUACUUCAAAGACAUCACUAUUCUAGAGCUUAAUGAACACUGUCGAAAGGUGCUGCAGAAAUGGCUGAAUAAAGAAGAAGAUGCCUUGGAUUUUUCUCAUGCUGCAAAGAUUGUUGCCGAACUUGAAGGAAACAGGUGAACCAUCUUUUCAUGGAUCCAAUGUAUUUCUGUGAGUGAUAAAUAAUGGAAAGUAGCAAUUAUAGCAAUAAAAUUAUAGCUACUGAUAAAUGUAGGUAGUAAUAUUUAUGAGAACCAAGAAAAGAGAAGAGGAAUAACUUGUAAGGUCCAUAUUACAGUGAGGGAAAAAGUAUUUGAUCCCGUGCUGAUUUUGAACGUUUGCCUACCGACAAAGAAAUGAUCAGUCUAGAAUUUUAAUGGUAGGUGUAUUAACAGUGAGAGACAGAAUAACAAAACAAAAUGACAUUUGCAUGUAAAUGGGUAAGAUAAGUAUUUGAUCCUCUAUCAAUCAGCAAGAUUUCUGGCUCCCAGGUGUCUUUUAUACAGGUAACGAGCAGAGAUUAGGAGCACUCUCUUAAAAGGACCUGUAUAAAAGACACCUGGGAGGCAGAAAUCUUGCUGAUUGAUACGGGAUCAAAUUCUCAUUUCACUCAUUGGCAUGCGUUUUUCUAGAUUUUUUUUUUUGUUUUGCUAUUCUGUCUCUCACUGUUAAAGGACCACUAUAGUGCCAGGAAAACAUACUCGUUUUCCUGGCACUAUAGUGCCCUGAGGGUGCCCCCACCCUCAAAGUCCCCCUCCCGCCGGGCUCUGGGGAGAGGAAUGGGUUAAACUUACCUCUUUCUCCAGCGCUGGGCGGGGAGCUCUCCUCCUCCUCUCCUCUGUCUUCUCUUCCUCUUCGGCUGAAUGCGCAUGCGUGGCAAGAGCCGCGCGCGCAUUCAGCCAGUCCAUAGAAAAAAGCAUUCACAAUGCUUUCCUAUGGACACUGGCAUCUUCUCACUGUGAAAAUCACAGUGAGAAUCACGCAAGCGCCUCUAGCGGCUGUCAGUGAGACAGCCACUAGAGGAUUUGAUGGCUGGAUUAACCUAUUUAUAAACAUAGCAGUUUCUCUGAAACUGCUAUGUUUAUAAAAAAAAAGGGUUAAUCCUAGAUGGACCAGGCACCCAGACCACUUCAUUAAGCGGAAGCGGUCUGGGUGCCUAUAGUGGUCCUUUAAAAUACACCUACCAUUAAAAUUAUAGACUGUUCAUUUCUUUGUCAGUAGGCAAACGUUCAAUACCAGGAGGGUAUCAAAUACUUUUUUUCCCCUCACUAUAUAUAUCACAUGCCAUAAAAUUGUGUUAUUAUAUUUUACAGUGAGAAGUGGGUUGAAAAGGAAGAUGAUCUAAGAAGAUGUAUUAAAGGCAUAUUGCCAUGUGAUUUUACCAAAGAAAACCCAACUGACCCUGUCGUGCUGCCAAAAGCAGAUUGUGUGAUUAGCAUGCUUGUGCUGGGUUUAAUUUCAAAAGACCCAGACAGUUACCAUCAUAAUCUAAAGAUAAUGUCAUCUAUGCUUAAAUUAGGAGGGCGUCUUUUACUGAUUGGGGCAUUUAAUGCAUCACAUUUUAAGAUUAGUGGGAAUGCAUAUCAUCUCUUAAAUUACAAUGAACAGGAUCUAAGAAAAGCUCUGAAAGAUUGCGGUUUUUCUAUUGAACGGAUGGAAGUGAUGGAAAGCAAAAUACGCAGUGAUAUGUUAUGUUAUAAUCACAUUUUUUAUGCUUGUGCUGUUAAAAACAAAGAGACUUAAACCAGUUUAUCUCUAAAUAGUUGCAUAGUAAUGAUGUUCUUUGAGGGUGUUGGGUGGAUUUACCCUCAUAGUCCAAUCUGGAUAAAUCAAAUUGUAUUUAUUCACAUAGUAAAGUAAUAUUGCAUUGUUACAUUGC